AAAUCAUACAAACGAGAAUAUGCUUCAUCAUCAGAAGAUGAGCGCCAACCAAGACAAGAGUCGACCAGGAAACUGUCUAAAUCAUACAAACAAACAGAUGCUUCAUCAUCAGAUGAGCGCCAACCAAGACAAGAGUCGACCAGGAAACUGUCUA